rnacentral:misc_RNA from 1 species
GAUGAAGAACGUAGCGAAAUGCGAUACGUAGUGUGAAUUGCAGAACUCAGUGAAUCAUCGAAUCUUUGAACGCACAUUGCACCUCUCGGUAUUCCGGGAGGUAUGCCUGUUCGAGCGUCAUUUGUACCCUCAAGCUCUGCUUGGUGUUGGGUGUUUGUUCCGCCUCUGUGUGUGAACUCGCCUCAAAACAAUUGGCAGCCGGCGUACUUGUUUCGGAGCGCAGCACAUUUUGCGAUCCAGAUCAACGUACAGCGGCAUCCAAGAAGCCUUAUUUAACGCUCUUGACCUCGGAUCAGGUAGGGAUACCCGCUGAACUUAAGCAUAUCAAUAAGCGGAGGA